ACGAAGGGUGCAAACGUUGCUCGGAAUUACUGGGCGUAAAGCGCACGUAGGCGGCUAUUCAAGUCAGAGGUGAAAGCCCGGGGCUCAACCCCGGAACUGCCUUUGAAACUAGAUAGCUUGAAUCACGGAGAGGUGGGUGGAAUUCCGAGUGUAGAGGUGAAAUUCGUAGAUAUUCGGAAGAACACCAGUGGCGAAGGCGGCCCACUGGACGUGUAUUGACGCUGAGGUGCGAAAGCGUGGAGAGCAAACAGGA
rnacentral:rRNA from 1 species